CCUACGGGGGGCAGCAGUGAGGAAUAUUGGUCAAUGGACGCAAGUCUGAACCAGCCAUGCCGCGUGCGGGAAGACGGUUCUAUGAGUUGUAAACUUCUUUUGUACGAGGGUAAACGCAGAUACGCGUCUCUGUCUGAAAGUAUCUUACGAAUAAGGAUCGGCUAACUCCGUGCCAGCAGCCGCGGUAAUACGGAGGAUUCAAGCGUUAUCCGGAUUUAUUGGGUUUAAAGGGUGCGUAGGCGGUCGGAUAAGUUAGAGGUGAAAUCCCGAGGCUCAACUUCGGAAUUGCCGCUGAUACUGUUCGGCGAGAGAGUAGUUGCGGUAGGCGGAAUGGAGGGUGUAGCGGUGAAAGGCUUAGAGAUCAUACAGAACACCGAUUGCGAAGGCAGCUUACCAAGCUACUUCUGACGUUGAGGCACGAAAGCGUGGGGAGCAAACAGGAUUAGAUACCCUAGUAGUC
rnacentral:rRNA from 1 species